rnacentral:rRNA from 1 species
CUCUUUUUGAAUAUAAUUUAAAGUUGGGCCUGCCCACUGAAAAUUUGAAGGGCCGCAGUAUUUUGACUGUGCAAAGGUAGCAUAAUCAUUAGUUUUUUAAUUGAAAGCUUGUAUGAAUGGUUUGAUGAGAAAAUUUCUGUCUCAGUUUUAAUUUUUUAGAAUUUUAUUUUUAAGUUAAAAAGCUUAAAUUUAAUAAAAAGACGAGAAGACCCUAUAGAGUUUAAUUUUAAAAUUUUUAUUAUUAUUAAAGAAUUUUAUAUAUAAAUUAAAUUUUAAAAUUGUGUUGGGGUGACAGAAAAAUUUAUUAAACUUUUUUUUUAUAUUUACAUUAAUUUAUGAAUUUUUGAUCCAUAAAAAUGAUUAUAAGAUUAAAUUACCUUAGGGAUAACAGCGUAAUUUUUUUUAAAAGUUCAUAUUUAAAAAAAAGAUUGCGACCUCGAUGUUGGAUUAAAAUUUAAUUUUGGUGUAGAAGCUAAAAAGUUAGGUCUGUUCGACCUUUAAAAUUUUACAUGAUCUGAGUUUAAACCGGUGUAAGCCAGGUUGGUUUCUAUCUUUUAUAAAAUUAAAUAUUUUAGUACGAAAGGAUCAAAUAUUUUAUUAAAAAUAUUUUUUUUGAAUAAAAAUUUUAUUUUGGCAGAUUAGUGCGAAGGACUUAGAAUCUUUUUAUGUAAAAUAUUUACAAAUAAAAAUUGAUUUAAUUUUAAUAUUUUUAAAUUUUUUAAUUUUAUUUUUAGGUGUUUUAGUAGGUGUUGCUUUUUUAACUUUAUUAGAACGAAAGCUUUU